AUUCUAAGGCGCUUGAGAGAACUCAGGAGAAGGAACUCGGCAAAUUGACACCGUAACUUCGGAAGAAGGUGUGCCUUUAGUAGGUGAAGUCCCUCGCGGAUGGAGCCCAAUGAGGUUGCAAAGAAUCGGUGGCUGCGACUGUUUAUUAAAAACACAGCACUCUGCAAACACGAAAGUGGACGUAUAGGGUGUGACGCCUGCCCGGUGCUGGAAGAUUAAAUGAUGGGGUGCAAGCUCUUGAUUGAAGUCCCAGUAAACGGCGGCCGUAACGAUAACGGUCCUAAGGUAGCGAAAUUCCUUGUCGGGUAAGUUCCGACCUGCACGAAUGGCGUAACGAUGGCCACACUGUCUCCUCCUGAGACUCAGCGAAGUUGAAAUGUUUGUGAUGAUGCAAUCUCCCCGCGGAAAGACGGAAAGACCCCAUGAACCUUUACUGUAGCUUUGUAUUGGACUUUGAACAGAUCUGUGUAGGAUAGGUGGGAGGCUUUGAAGCAGGGUCGCUAGAUCUUGUGGAGCCAACGUUGAAAUACCACCCUGGUGUGUUUGAGGUUCUAACCUAGGCCCGUAAUCCGGGUUGGGGACAGUGCAUGGUAGGCAGUUUGACUGGGGCGGUCUCCUCCCAAAGUGUAACGGAGGAGUUCGAAGGUACGCUAGUUACGGUCGGACAUCGUGACGAUAGUGCAAUGGCAUAAGCGUGCUUAACUGCGAGACUGACAAGUCGAGCAGAUGCGAAAGCAGGACAUAGUGAUCCGGUGGUUCUGUAUGGAAGGGCCAUCGCUCAACGGAUAAAAGGUACUCUGGGGAUAACAGGCUGAUACCGCCCAAGAGUUCAUAUCGACGGCGGUGUUUGGCACCUCGAUGUCGGCUCAUCUCAUCCUGGGGCUGUAGCCGGUCCCAACGGUAUGGCUGUUCGCCAUUUAAAGAGGUACGUGAGCUGGGUUUAAAACGUCGUGAGACAGUUUGGUCCCUAUCUUCCGUGGGCGCUGCAGAUUUGAGGAAGCCUGCUCCUAGUACGAGAGGACCGGAGUGGACGCACCUCUGGUGUAUCGGUUGUCACGCCAGUGGCAUUGCCGAGUAGCUAUGUGCGGAAGAGAUAACCGCUGAAAGCAUCUAAGCGGGAAACUCGUUUCAAGAUGAGAUCUGCCGGGGCCUUGAGCCCCCUGAAGAGUCGUUCAAGACCAGGACGUUGAUAGGUCGGGUGUGGAAGCGCAGUAAUGCGUUAAGCUAACCGAUACUAAUUGCUCGUGCGGCUUGACCCC
rnacentral:rRNA from 1 species